UUUAAUGGCCGCAGUACCCUGACUGUGCUAAGGUAGCAUAAUAAUUUGCCUUUUAAUUAAAGGCUAGCAUGAAAGAUUUGACGAAAGAAGAUCUGUCUCUGCUUAUUUAAAAAAAUUAACCUAGAAGUUAAAAGGCUUCUAUUUCUUAGAGGGACGACAAGACCCUAUAAAGCUUUAUUUAUCAUAUUUUUAUAUGCUUCAAGGAGGCAAUACAAAUUUAUAAAUUUUAUUGGGGCGAUAAAUAAACAAACAUUAUUGACCAUAACGUACUUAACGAAAUUUAUAGAACGUUUUUGACCUUAUAACAAGUUACUUUAGGGAUAACAGCAUAAUUUCUUUCUAGAGUCCUUAUCGACAAAGAAGAUUAUGACCUCGAUGUUGAAUUGAGCUACUUCUUUUAUGUAAACUUAAAAGGCAGGAGUCUGUUCGACCCUUAA
rnacentral:rRNA from 1 species